GCCUGGGUAACAUGAGUGAAACUCCGUCUCAAAAAAAACAAACAAACAAAAAAAAGAUUUUCAACACAAGGUGACUCUUGGACUGGCGUUGUACCGCCUUAGGACAAACUGAAGGGCUGAGGAGAAAGUAUUGGGACCCCAACAGGCCUUUCUUGGAAUCCAGUCUGAAAGUUAAAAAACACUCUCAGCCCUUAGCUCACACAGAUGACUGCACAGAAUUGAGAGGGCUCCCACAAUGUGCCUUGAAGUUUCCAUCAGUGUCCUUGGUUCAGACCUUUGGGAAUGUUGUGGUUCUGAAAACAAAGGUGCAUCCCACAAUUCUCCAGUGGCAUCUGCCUGUGGAUACCCUAUUUCACAGCUGUCAGCAUCAUGUCAUUCCAAGGCCGUCUGGAGGUCAUCUCUAGCUCCGUUUCCCAUCCAAACCCACACUGUAGAUUCUUGCUGGUAAAUGUGUUUAAAAGUUCACUCCAGAACAUCUCUCUGUGACAGCCCAGGUAAGCUCUAAAAUGAGAGGGCUGGAGAAGCUGAGGCAGAACCUGUGUCAUGGGACACAUGCCCUUUGGCCAUGCAAGAUUCACUGUCCUGUAACCAUAGCUCUGUACCAACCUCCACAGAAGUCUCGAAACCCAACACUGGUACCACAGAGACAUGCCCUACCAUGUCCCAGCUACAGGACAUAGACGAGAUCAGGCAUGUUCAGGGUGGUAUGGCCAUAGACUGCAGGACACAAUCAGACUUCUUACUUUCCCUAGCUGGCCCACCCCAGAUUUUCUGGCACAUUCCACCUGGCUUGGGCCCCGACAGUGACGAGGCCCUCUGCUCUCUUCAGUGUCAUGUGUGCUGCUGCAGGGCUGGUUUUGUAGCCUCGCCUCCAAGGCCAGCACUUAUGCUUCAUGGAACUCCAGCCUGUGGUGUACGGGAAGUCACCAUGUCAGAGAAGCGCCACCGGCCAUGGAGGCGACUUGCUUCAUGUCACUCCCAGAACACAGGGUUAACUGAACUCCCAAGAAACUGUUCUGACACCACCGAAGAGUUCCUCCUUUGCUGAGCUGUGCAGCCAUGAGAUGGGGGGUUUUACCACGUUGCCCAGGCUGGUCUCAAACUCCUGACCUCAAGCAAUCUGGCCGCCUCAGCCUACCAAAGUCCGGGGAUUAGAGGCAUGAGCCACUUCACCAUCUAGGAGGAGACUUGAGACUGGGACCUUUUGUCACCAAAGUAGAAAUUCCAGGUGCUCGGGAGGACAUAGGCAGAGGACGCAGAGGAGUGAGCACAGCUGCACCUGGUGAGUCCUGAGGGAGUGAUGCUGUGUAAGAAGAAAGUACAUUCAAGGUCUGGGUGGAUUCCAGGGAUUGAAUUCAAUGGUUCUUUCAGAGGUGAGAGCUGUCCCUGGGUCUCCUAGUAUCAACAAGAUCCCAAAUCCUCAAGAGUGACGACCCCAACUCUUGUUCACACAUCAGGGUUUCAGUUGUGCAGAAUUCCCUUAACACAGUCUCCAAUAUACAUAGAUACCUGUAUAUGUCACGUGCUGUAUAUAACAUGUACAUACUGGCGAAAGAUUCAGUCCUUGACCAAGCUGGGAUUACAGGCAUGCACCACCAUUACUGGCCAAUUUUGUACAGGUGUGAGCCACCGUGACCCGCUACAUUAAUUAUUUUUCCCUUUUUUUUUUUUUUUUUUU